CCUACGGGGGGCAGCAGUGGGGAAUAUUGCACAAUGGGGGAAACCCUGAUGCAGCGACGCCGCGUGAGUGAAGAAGUAAUUCGUUAUGUAAAGCUCUAUCAGCAGGGAAGAAAAUGACGGUACCUGAGUAAGAAGCCCCGGCUAACUACGUGCCAGCAGCGGCGGUAAUACGUAGGGGGCACGCGUUAUCCGGAUUUACUGGGUGUAAAGGGAGCGUAGACGGUGCGCCAAAUCUGGAGUGAAAUGCCGCAGCUUAACUGCGGAACUGCGUUGGAAACCGGCGAACUAGAGUGCGGGAGGGGUAAGCGGAAUUCCUAGUGUAGCGGUGAAAUGCGUAGAUAUUAGGAGGAACACCGGUGGCGAAGGCGGCUUACUGGACCGCAACUGACGCUGAUGCACGAAAGUGUGGGUAUCGAACAGGAUUAGAUACCCGAGUAGUC
rnacentral:rRNA from 1 species